rnacentral:rRNA from 1 species
AACGAACGCUGGCGGCAUGCCUAAUACAUGCAAGUCGAACGAGAUCUUCGGAUCUAGUGGCGCACGGGUGCGUAACGCGUGGGAAUCUACCCUUGGGUUCGGAAUAACAGUUAGAAAUGACUGCUAAUACCGGAUGAUGACGUAAGUCCAAAGAUUUAUCGCCCAAGGAUGAGCCCGCGUAAGAUUAGCUAGUUGGUGAGGUAAAGGCUCACCAAGGCUACGAUCUUUAGCUGGUCUGAGAGGAUGAUCAGCCACACUGGGACUGAGACACGGCCCAGACUCCUACGGGAGGCAGCAGUAGGGAAUAUUGGACAAUGGGCGAAAGCCUGAUCCAGCAAUGCCGCGUGAGUGAUGAAGGCCUUAGGGUUGUAAAGCUCUUUUACCCGAGAUGAUAAUGACAGUAUCGGGAGAAUAAGCUCCGGCUAACUCCGUGCCAGCAGCCGCGGUAU